CAAGUCGCACGAGAAAGUGGAGCAAUCCAUGAGUACAGUGGCGUACGGGUGAGUAACACGUGGAUGAUCUACCUCUUAGUGGGGAAUAACCCUGGGAAACCGGGGCUAAUACCGCAUAAGCUCGAGAGAGGAAAGCAGCAAUGCGCUGAGAGAGGAGUCCGCGGCCGAUUAGCUAGUUGGCAGGGUAAGAGCCUACCAAGGCAGAGCUCGGUAGCCGGCCUGAGAGGGCACACGGCCACACUGGCACUGAAACACGGGCCAGACUCCUACGGGAGGCAGCAGUGGGGAAUCUUGCACAAUGGGGGAAACCCUGAUGCAGCGACGCCGCGUGAGCGAUGAAGCCCUUCGGGGUGUAAAGCUCUUUCGGCAGGGAAGAUAAUGACGGUACCUGCAGAAGCAGCUGCGGCUAACUACGUGCCAGCAGCCGCGGUAAUACGUAGGCAGCGAGCGUUGUUCGGAGUUACUGGGCGUAAAGGGUGUGUAGGCGGUUGUUUAAGUUUGGUGUGAAAUCUCCCGGCUCAACUGGGAGGGUGCGCCGAAUACUGAAUGACUUGGAGUGCGGGAGAGGAAAGUGGAAUUCCUGGUGUAGCGGUGAAAUGCGUAGAUAUCAGGAGGAACACCGGUGGUGUAGACGGCUUUCUGGACCGUAACUGACGCUGAGACACGGAAGCGUGGGUAGCAAACAGGAUUAGAUACCCUGGUAGUCCACGCCCUAAACGAUGCAUAUUUGGUGUGGGCAGUUCAUUCUGUCCGUGCCGGAGCUAACGCGUUAAAUAUGCCGCCUGGGGAGUACAGUCGCAAGGCUGAAACUCAAAGG
rnacentral:rRNA from 1 species